rnacentral:rRNA from 1 species
UACGUAGGGGGCAAGCGUUGUCCGGAUUUAUUGGGCGUAAAGAGCGUGUAGGCGGCCAGGUAGGUCAGCUGUGAAAACUCGAGGCUCAACCUCGAGACGUCGGUUGAAACCACCUGGCUAGAGUCCGGAAGAGGAGAGUGGAAUUCCUGGUGUAGCGGUGGAAUGCGCAGAUAUCAGGAGGAACACCGGUGGCGAAGGCGGUCUCUGGGCAUUACCUGACGCUGAGGAGCGAAAGCAUGGGGGAGCGAACAGG